UUUGUAUUUUCCACCUGUUUUUGUAAUUUUAUAUAGUCAUUGUGUGAACUUAUUGUGUUGAGUAAUUCAUUCUUGAAGCCAAGAACAAGAUGCCUCUGUUUGGGUCUUUUCUUAAACAGGAACACUACUAUGAUCCUUUAGGGUAAUACUGGCUUCAUUGCAUGGAGGAUCAAGACAGUUCAACAUAACACCUGUGCUAGCUCCCGGUGUCAUUCCAAGACUGUUCUUCAGGACGGUCCAAAAAACAGACAAGAAUCUCUGUUAACUUGUCAACAGCGAUUUGGUGAGGAGUGCAGGGAGGCGAUAUCUACAAUACGAUAUUUCACUGAUGAGAAGAUGAGUGACUUUCCAGUAUUGACAGAAGAUGGUCGGUGAGGAUGCAUCAUCUUCUGUCCUGGAUUUGUUCACUUGUUUCCUUGUUGUAUCUGGAUUGAUCGACCACGAUUUCUCCAUGAUGUUUGGUCACGAAGUGUCUCAGAAUUUCCUGGCAAAGUGGUCAACAUUCUUCAAGCCAAACAUUUGCAGACUGCAAAACUCUUAAGAAUAUGGGCGAGCUGCUUUCAGGAACUGAACCUGAAUCUGAGGACUAAAAUGCGAUAUGUCCUCAAUCCUUUUGCAGCUGCAUCUGCUCCCUCCAACCUCAAGAGGCCAGGAAAAAAAACAUCCAAGAUCAGUUCAGCUCAAGCAACCAGCCAUCUUGUGAGCUAUCUUAAGGAAGGAGCCAGUGUGAAUACCUUCAUUGAGAGUGCUGACACAAGACAACCAUUUCUCCUCUGCAUCGGUGAGCGAAAGAAGGAUAUCCCAAAGUUCUACAUUAUUAUCGACCAAAAGGCGAUCCCAUGUAAGGCGUACACAUCAGUGGCAGCUUUUGAUGAACUGUUCAAAGCUCACUAUGUCUUCAGUUUCUCAUAUGGUGAAGCUCUUUGUGAUUUCUACACAUUUAUCCAAACCACUAUAUAUAACAUCGAUGUCGGAAGAGCAAUGGAGAGCCUGCGUGUUAAAGAACUUCGAGCAUGAUUGCUGCAGCGAGAUUAACUGCCUUGAAGAUGUUCACAUGUUUUGAAUGUAAAGCACACCUCAGAACUUGUUUGGUUCUUCGUCAACAUUUAAAAUUUCAACAUGGUUUAUAUCCUAGCAAAAAGUUACAUUUAAAAUGUGGAGAGCCAGGUCACCUGUUAUCAUUUUGUACUUAUAGUGGCUUCCGAAAACACCCCAGCAAGGUACAUAGUCACACUAUGGAUCAGGAGAUUGAUACUAAUCAGGAUCUUUCCACUCAGGGAGAAUAUGAGGCGGAAUGUUCAAAUGAUCGCCCAAGUUUACAAAGUUGGAGUUUACAAAGACAUUAAUGAUGGGUCGUGUUUCCAAAACCAUGCACUGUUCUCACAGCAAAAGCACGCUUUUCAGAUUCUACUCUAUCACAACGAUUUUGAAACUGCUAACCAUCUAGGUUCCAAGAGGGGGAUCCACAAACUUGGUUGAAUCUAUUUUACUCAAAAAAAAAAUAUUCCACCCAAGUGUAACUCUGUACUGAUUAAUGUACAUCUUGCAGCUUGAUUCUACAUGGAAGAUCUUAAGACAUACGGUUUUGAUGUGAUACUAAAGCCCCUUAUUGAUGACCUGAAAAUCUAAGAAACCGAAGGCAUACAGCUUCCUUGUUUUGAACAACCGGCUCAGUAAUUCAAGUAACAGGAGAUAAUUUGGCUUUAAAUGGCUUGCUGGGAAUCUUACAGUGCAACUAAUUUCUGUAGGCUUUGUUUAAUUAGUAAGGAAGGAGUUCAAUCUAUAUUUACUGAAGAUCAUCCUGGGUUAAUUUUUCGUUCCAAAGAGGUUCAUACUGAACAUUGUAAGGCACUAAAUGAAAAUCCUGAACUGCGGUCAAUAUAUGGUGUCAAAAAGUCAUGUGCGCUCAAUUCUUUAGAGUAUUUCCAUUGUACUGAAAACUAUGCUGUUGACAUCAUGCAUGAUCUGCUAGAGGAUGUGGUACAGUAUGAACUUAAACUGAUUUUUGAGUACCUUGUUAAACAGCUUUAAUUAUGGUUACACAGACCGUAAAAACAAACCAAGUCGGUUAAAAAUUGAUGAUAUGGGCAAACACCUGGGUUUGAAUGCCAUACAGUCAUGGUGUCUUCUGCACAACACUCCAUUGAUAUUUGGUGGUCAUUGAAAGGAAUAACAAUCACUGGAACUUUCUCCUACUUUUGAUGCAGAUUGUCAAUAUAGUGUUUUCCUACACCAUAACUGAUGGGAUGAUAUGUUACUUAAAACAUCUGAUCUGUGAUCACCAUACUCUAUUCAAAGAAUUGAUUCCUGACAAGACGUCGAUUCCCAAGCACCACUUGAUGAUGCACUAUCUGAGAUGCAUUAAAAAAAAUGGCCCUCUUAUCCAUAUGUGGUGAAUGCGAUUUGAAGCUAAGCACCAUAUUUUCAAAAGAUGUGGCAAAAAUUUCAAGAAUCUCAUUAAAUCAUUAGUAAAGCAACAUCAACGUCAAUUGGCAUUUAACUGUGAAAAUGAUUGUUUUAGAAGGUUUGAAUUUGGUCCUACAUCAAAAACCAUCUGUAACUUGCAAGGUGGGGAAGAACUCAGUCAGACAUUAUAUUUAGAAGCCUGUUUGAGUGUUACAAGUACAAAGUGGGUCAGACAUUAUGGUACUGAGUAUCAGGUUGGUGUGUUCAUAUGCACUGGAUGUACCUAUGAUCUCCCUGUGUUCAAAAAGAUCUGUGAGAUAAUAAUAUAUGAAGAGAGUGCUUUCAUUAUUUCCUGCAAUGUAAAAACGAUGUACUAUGAUGACCACUUCAAUGCAUACUGUAUAGAAGAUAACCAAAUGGAUGAGUUUUCUGUCAUCUCUGUGAACGAACUGACACACUUUAGGCCAUUUGAUCAGCAGUGCUCUAAUGAGAAUAAUCAAAGAGAGUACAUAGUGCCCAAUUGUUAUAUUUAGAAAGCCUUGACCUGAGGGGUCAGUAAUGUUAACGCCCUUGAAAAAAAGAAAACUAUUAUAAAGCAACCAACUGUUUUUUUUUUCUUUA